AGUCUAUGGUGUGGACAAAGUCUCAUCAUAUCCGUGUAUCUCUCCCAAGAGUCGAAAAGAGAUUCAUUGUGUUUCUGUUUAAAUCCGUUGAUUUGGGCCCUUAGCAU